UGGGGAAUUUUGGACAAUGGGGGCAACCCUGAUCCAGCCAUGCCGCGUGAGUGAAGAAGGCCUUCGGGUUGUAAAGCUCUUUUACCAGGGACGAUAAUGACGGUACCUGGAGAAUAAGCCCCGGCAAACUUCGUGCCAGCAGCCGCGGUAAUACGAAGGGGGCUAGCGUUGUUCGGAUUUACUGGGCGUAAAGGGCGCGUAGGCGGCAUGACAAGUCACUUGUGAAAUCUCUGGGCUUAACCCAGAACGGCCAAGUGAUACUGUCGCGCUAGAGUGCAGAAGGGGCAAUCGGAAUUCUUGGUGUAGCGGUGAAAUGCGUAGAUAUCAAGAGGAACACCUGAGGCGAAGGCGGGUUGCUGGGCUGAUACUGACGCUGAGGCGCGAAAGCUAGGGUAGCAAACGGGAUUAGAUACCCCCGUAGUCCCUGAGCGGGCUGGCAAGGCGCAU
rnacentral:rRNA from 1 species